UGACCUCAAAUCAUGUAGGACUACUCGCUGAACUUAAGCAUAUCAUAA
rnacentral:rRNA from 1 species